rnacentral:rRNA from 1 species
UACAGAGGUGGCAAGCGUUGUUCGGAAUUACUGGGCGUAAAGGGCGCGUAGGCGGCCUUCUAAGUCAGACGUGAAAUCCCCCGGCUUAACCUGGGAACUGCGUCUGAUACUGGAGGGCUUGAGUGCGGGAGAGGGAUGUGGAAUUCCAGGUGUAGCGGUGAAAUGCGCAGAUAUCAGGAAGAACACCCGUGGCGAAGGCGGCUCUCUGGAACGCAACUGACGCUGAGACGCGAAAGCGUGGGGAGCAAACAGG